rnacentral:lncRNA from 1 species
UUUGAGAUAAUUUAGAACAAAACUAAUUUGGCCAUAUGUCUGAGAAGUAGAAAGAUCUGUCAAGCCUGUUGGAAGAGGCUUCUAGUCCUGGCAGAAGUAAAAGCAGGUCCUGAAGUCAAAAGUGAGCCUGGGUGACUCAGUCGGUUAAGCGUCUGACUUCGGCUCAGCUCAUGAUCUCGCGGUCCGUGAGUUUGAGCCCCGCGUCGGGCUCUGUGCUGACGGCUCGGAGCCCGGAGCCUGCUUCUGAUUCUGUGCCUCCCUCUCUCUCUGCCCCCACUCAUGCUCUGUCUCUGUGUCAAAAAUAAAUACACAUUAAAAAAAUUUAUUUUUCCAAAAAAGUAGGAGAAAAUGAUGAAGGCAUCACGGCUUAUGCAAUCAAUCAGAAGCCAGUAGGAAUAAUCCUUAGGGACGAAGACAGAAUGGCACAGCAGAGGAAAAGUCCUGGUUUUGUGUCAUCGACAAACAUGAGAAAGUGAAGGAAGAUCAUUGAAGGUUUUUUGGAACUCCCAGUAUAUAGACCAGAUCUAUAGACCAGAUCCGUGUGUGUGGGCGUCCGUCUGGGCUCAGGUUGGUCUAUGUUCUGUUCAUUCCACAGGUUGUCGACUCUUCAGGACCUGCUCAGUAACACAAACAGUGUUCCCGCAGCCGGUCUGCAGCUUCACAUACUGAGGCUGUCUCUACAGAAGUUCCCGAAAGGAGUCCAGACGGACGAGCGCUAACCUGCCUCAAUGGACAAAGAAAGAAGAGACUCCAGGACGGCAUCCAUUUCUGGGACGUGGCUGAUCUGGCUUCCUCUCCCCCACACUGGUGCUACCUCUCCUGCUUGUACUGGCUCUGACAUCUUGUUCUGGAACACUGAAGCUCUCUCCCUGACCUGGCAUGGACACCUGUUGUUGUCAGCCCUACCCUAUGGAUUUAGGAUGAACUGUUCAAGAAAGGAAAAGAAAGUAGAGCACAUAGACGAAUUCCAGGCUUGUCUAAUAUUGGGCUUACCUGUGAUGAAAGUAUUUAAUUCCAUUUUUCAAAGCAAGGGAACAGUCAUACACUGUAUUAGAUAAGGUAACCCUGACUGAUGAAAUAAACCCACCACUGUAUAAUGGUUCA